rnacentral:rRNA from 1 species
UACGUAGGGACCGAGCGUUGUCCGGAAUCAUUGGGCGUAAAGAGCGUGUAGGCGGCCACUUAAGUCCUGCGUGAAAUCUUGCGGCUCAACCGCAAGCGGUCGUGGGAAACUGGGUGGCUAGAGUGCGGGAGAGGAGAGUGGAAUUCCUGGUGUAGCGGUGGAAUGCGCAGAUAUCAGGAGGGACACCGGUGGCGAAGGCGGCUCUCUGGGACGGUACUGACGCUGAGACGCGAAAGCGUGGGGAGCGAACAGG